AGCUUCAUGGCUAGUGGUAGCACACCAGGUGUAUAACUUGGACAUCCCACGUUCGAUUCGGAGUGGAGCUG